AUGUUGUAUGAAAGGAGAGAAGGUUAGUACUCCCCUUGAGAAGGAUAGAAGAGGUCCUAGCAGCCUUUUCAAUACAUAUCCUGCUAAGUAAGGUAUUGCCACCUGUUCUGUGACAUUGGACCAUGUAACUCAC
rnacentral:ncRNA from 1 species